GGAUGCGAUCAUACCAGCACUAAAGCACCAGAUCCCAUCAGAACUCCAAAGUUAAGCAUGCUUGGGCGAGAGUAGUACUAGGAUGGGUGACCUCCUGGGAAGUCCUCGUGUUGCAUUCC
rnacentral:rRNA from 1 species